rnacentral:rRNA from 1 species
UGCCCUAGUAACGGCGAGUGAAGCGGCAACAGCUCAAAUUUGAAAUCUGGCUCUUUCAGAGUCCGAGUUGUAAUUUGCAGAGGGCGCUUUGGCGUUGGCAGCGGUCCAAGUUCCUUGGAACAGGACGUCACAGAGGGUGAGAAUCCCGUACGUGGUCGCUAGUCAUCGCCGUGUAAAGCCCCUUCGACGAGUCGAGUUGUUUGGGAAUGCAGCUCUAAAUGGGAGGUAAAUUUCUUCUAAAGCUAAAUACUGGCCAGAGACCGAUAGCGCACAAGUAGAGUGAUCGAAAGAUGAAAAGCACUUUGGAAAGAGAGUCAAAUAGCACGUGAAAUUGUUGAAAGGGAAGCGCUUGCAGCCAGACUUGCCUGUAGUUGCUCAUCCGGGCUUUUGCCCGGUGCACUCUUCUGCGGGCAGGCCAGCAUCAGUUUGGGCGGUUGGAUAAAGGUCUCUGUCAUGUACCUCUCUUCGGGGAGAACUUAUAGGGGAGACGACAUGCAACCAGCCUGGACUGAGGUCCGCGCAUUUGCUAGGAUGCUGGCGUAAUGGCUGUAAGCGGCCCGUCUUGAAACACGGACCAAGGAGUCUAACAUCUAUGCGAGUGUUUGGGUGUCAAGCCCGAGCGCGUAAUGAAAGUGAACGGAGGUGGGACCCCAUUAGGGUGCACCAUCGACCGAUCCUGAUGUCUUCGGAUGGAUUUGAGUAAGAGCAUGGCUGUUGGGACCCGAAAGAUGGUGAACUAUGCUUGAAUAGGGUGAAGCCAGAGGAAACUCUGGUGGAGGCUCGCAGCGGUUCUGACGUGCAAAU